UAAAACAACAAGAAGUCGGCGACGAAACCGUCGGCUGCCGCGAGAUCGUGGGUGGGGCGAAAGAGCUGACUUUUCUUUAACGACGGCCGGCGAAAGAGGGUGGACGAUGGACGAGAUGAGAUGUGUUCUUCCGGCUUCGAGAGACGAGUUCUAUGAGGAUCUUGCAUCAGGCCAUCUCCGACGGCACCACCAUCAAAACAGUUGAGUCCACCUUAUAAAUCACCAUCAAAACAAAUGUCAAAUAAGCCGGAAGAACACAUCUCAUAUUCGUACAUCGUCCACCCGGAGUUCUUCUGCCGGUAGUCGUUGAAGGAAAGGCUGCUCUUUCACCUCACCACCAUCUCGCGCCUGGCGACGGUUUUGUUGACUAGUUCUUGCUUUUUGUCCAGAGUCUAAGAACCGGUGCCGGCCUUUCGAUCCACGCGCGAGCCGUUGCUGUUCUUGGGCUUGCGCUCCGCAAAGAAGUAUCCCUCCUGUCGAUCGCUCGGUCCUGUAGACGUCAGCGAAGGCGACAGCGUGGACAGACUUCAUGGACGACGGUUGUUUCUUGAAGAGGAGAGGAGAGGAAAUGAACGAAGAGGCGGAGAAGGGAGCAGAGAGGCGAGGGGCGAGAAGAUAAAGUGCCUUCAUCUUCUUUGAAUCCCAUCGCCCCGUUCGGUUCGAUCUUGAAGAUGGAGGUAUCUGCGCUGGUGUUGGCUUGUGGCGUGAGGGUGGGAGCUGAUGGAAGGUACAAGAUUUGGUGUUGUAUUGGCAAUCCGUUGGCAUUGCAUUCGGCAGCAUGCUUCCGAGGCCAAGUGCUUCACAGUGCCGUCUUCACCAGAGUGUUGGAACUGAUGGAACCAAUAAUAGGUCCCUGUAUGCCAUCAAGGUCGGACCUUUCCACGACCCCAAGUGAUAUCUUUUCGAUUCUUACCACACCAUCGCUUUGAGAAUAGUGUUGCAACACCCGUAUAGCCGAAUACUUACAAGCAGACAGCUAGAGUGGCCCUCUGUGCAUCUUCACUGUAGUGCCAGAUUUAUUUUGCUGGAGCAUUGCUGGGAACUAGCUUAUUAAGUAAAUGUUUUAUUUCUUUAGAUUAUUAGUUAUCGAAUUCAUCAUGGCAAUCAGAGUUCUGCAUUCACUAUCUCCCUCACCCCACAACAUGGAACUUGUGGUUCGUUUUAACAUUUCAUUCAGUGAUGUACUUCCAUGCGAUGACAUGAAUUUAUGCAUCUUCUUUCAGGUUGAGAGAUCAUUUGACUUAUCCAGGGUUCGUAAAUGUUUUUGUUUCUCGACUUGAUUGAAAACAUGUAUGUUUAUUCUGUGGGUUAUGGAUGUAUUUUACAGAUUUUCUGGUGAACUAUACCUAAAGUUUGUAUGUGUCUUUGAGAUGUCA